CACAGGCGCAGAUCCUUAGCCAUCGCACCGCCAGCGGGCACCAGUGGAUGACCAUAACCUUGACCCCGGAGCCCGUGUCCUCCCCCAGUCCGGGCGGGGCCCAGCCGCGGGGAAGCUCUCUGGAAUGCAGGGGUAAUGGAGGGUGCUGAAAACUUCGUUCCUUCGGGAGGGGGGCUCGGGUGAGCUACGACUGUCUCCCUCGCCGUCUGCUGGCCAGGAACCCUGCUCCCUGCGCACCUGAGCAGCAGUCCUGUGAGCCCUCUCUACCGUCCAGAUCGGAAACGUAUAAAUCACCCAGCGAGCACAGUCACACCUCACACCUGAAUCUGUGCCUCUCCCAGUGCCCUGCGCCGGGUUGGGUGAGACACCACAUUCCAGCUGAAUGAGAAAUGCCUGGGACCAGCCCGAGAAGCCCUGCCGUCAGCGCGGAGCGAGCUCAGCGUUCCUGCAGGCCCUUCCAGGUCCUCUUCGUGCUCAGCGCCAGCCCGACAUCGCCAAUCCCCAGGCCUAACAUUACACUGACUCACAGUGUGCAAUUAAAACCUGGAGCUUUUCACUCGGGGAUGACAUGACUAGACCCCUGAUCUCCUGUGAUUUAUGCUCCUGCUGACACUGUGGCAAAUGCCUACAUUUGUCAAGAAACAAAAAGCCGCUACAUGUCCUGUAGUUACUCCCUGUCAAUCCUGGAAUGUAAGGAAAAAUUCCCCACGUCCCUCUCUCCCCCCUCCAGCGCCGUUUAUUCCUGCUGUCCGGGACCCCUGAGACUCAGAUGGGACAAGAAUUAUACAGGCAUCAAGGCUCCCAUCAGCCCACACACAACUGCCUGUCUGUGAUCUUUCUGUUCACCUGUCUGUCCGUCCGUCCGUCAUCAGUCUGUGUCCAUGUGUCUGUCCGAGUAAAGGAAGGUUCUGCGAUGGACACGGGGCUCAGUUUGCUUAAAAGACACCAGGACAUUUUUCACCGAUCUGUCUGUAAUCUCUCUAUCCAUCUGUCUACCUGUUUGUAACAUGCCUUUCCAUCUACAGUAUCUGCCAUCCAUCUGUCUGUGAUCUGUCUAUAUGUCCAAACGUCCAUCAGGCAGUUUAAUCAUCUUUCUGUAUAUCCUGGCUGUCUGUCUGAGAAAGGAAAGGUUCUGUGUUCUGUAAAGGUUCUCACAUAGGGCUCAGUUGGUUUAAAAGUCAUCAGGACAUUUUUCAACACUAGUUUUGUCAUUUGUUUGGAAAGGUUAACAGCUUUAAUAAUCAUUUCAUACACUUCUAUAGCGCUUUUCUGGACACUCCACUCAAAGUGCUUUAAUAGUAGUGGACUAGUUUAAAGUUCUCUACAGGUAAUGGGGAUCCCCUCCACCACCACCAGUGUGCAGCCCCACCUGGAU